rnacentral:rRNA from 1 species
GACGAACGCUGGCGGCGUGCUUAACACAUUCAAGUCGAGCGGUAAGGCCUUUCGGGGUCCACGAGCGGCGAACGGGUGAGUAACACGUGGGUGAUCUGCCCUGCACUUCGGGAUAAGCCUGGGAAACUGGGUCUAAUACCGGAUAUGACCUCCUAUCGCAUGGUGGGUGGUGGAAAGAUUUAUCGGUGCAGGAUGGGCCCGCGGCCUAUCAGCUUGUUGGUGGGGUAAUGGCCUACCAAGGCGACGACGGGUAGCCGACCUGAGAGGGUGACCGGCCACACUGGGACUGAGACACGGCCCAGACUCCUACGGGAGGCAGCAGUGGGGAAUAUUGCACAAUGGGCGAAAGCCUGAUGCAGCGACGCCGCGUGAGGGAUGACGGCCUUCGGGUUGUAAACCUCUUUCAGCAGGGACGAAGCGCAAGUGACGGUACCUGCAGAAGAAGCACCGGCUAACUACGUG